CAAUAGCGUAUAUUAAAGUUGUUGCAGUCAAAAAGCUCGUAGUUGGACCUUGGACCUGGACAGGCGGUCCGCCUCACGGCGUGUACUGUCUUGCUGGGUCUUUCCUCUUGGUGAUCUGUUGUUUCGGCAGCAGGGAACCAGGACUUUUACUUUGAAAAAAUUAGAGUGUUCAAAGCAGGCUCGACGCCGGAAUAUAUUAGCAUGGAAUAAUAAAAUAGGACGUGCGGUUCUAUUUUGUUGGUUUUUGGAAUCGCCGUAAUGAUUAAUAGGGACAGUCGGGGGCAUUAGUACUCACAUGCUAGAGGUGAAAUUCUUGGAUUUUGUGAAGACUAACUUCUGCGAAAGCAUUUGCCAAGGAUGUUUUCAUUAA
rnacentral:rRNA from 1 species